AUCGAUUUUAUCCGGGAGCUUCAAAUCGAAACCAGGAGAGGGGGCUUUGAAAUGUCAAAGAAAAGUUGCAAAAGGAAAAAGGAGGUCUUUGGAGAUGGGAGGCCUGAGUUCCCCGCUGCCCCCAGGAGAGUUACAGGAUGCUAGGUCAAUAGGACUGGAUCAGCCUGACUUUCUGACGAUGUAGCAGCCUGAGGGGUUCAAGCAGAAGUAUCCCGGGAACCAAGCUGGAGUGGCAUUGACUUUCCUGUCCUGGCCUUGGAAAUCACAUGUCAUUUCUACCCCCAUCUCAUUGGAAGAAGCAGUCAAAACCCUGCCCGGAUUCAAGAGAAGAAAAACAAGACUCAUGAUCGAGAGCGCGAGGUCGCACUGCAGAGGAAGAUGGAGGACAAAGGAUAUUGUCGUGGCAGCCCUUGGAAAAUAGAAUCAGCCGCAGAGUCAAAGCUGGUGGCGAUGCAGCGUGUUCUGCUCAACAAAUGCUCCUCCCGGGUGAUGAAUAAGCAUGUGGAUGAAUAAGACCCUGUCCUUGAACUU